rnacentral:rRNA from 1 species
AUUGAACGCUAGCGGGAUGCUUUACACAUGCAAGUCGAACGAGUGGCGGCCGGGUGAGUAAUAUAACGGAACGUGCCCAGUAGCGGGGGAUAACUUCUCGAAAGAGUGGCUAAUACCGCAUACUAUUGGAGAGGCCGAUAUCGGAUUUGCUAGUUGGUGGGGUAAAGGGUCAUCAAGGCAACGAUCCGUAGCUGGAUUGCGAGGACGCCCAGCCACACGGGGAGUGAGAAACGGCACAGACUCCUGCGGGCGACAGAAGUGGGCAAUUUUGGACAAUGGGGGAAGCUCUGAUCCAGCAAUCCCGCGAGUAUGAGAAGGCAUACGGGUUGGAAGUUACUUUUGUCAGAGAAGCGGUAUCUGCAGAAUAAGCACCGGCGAACUACGUGCCAGCAGCCGCGGGAAUUC